UUCCUUGAUUCAAUUUUUCACCAGAUGGCAUUAAUGGCAAAAACGAUGAAGCCAUCCCAACUGGUAGUGUCAUUCAUUUUUGAUGAAAUGGCCAUUAAAAAGCACAUUGAUUACAACCGUGCCUUCGAUAAAGUAGAUGGGCUGACCUCCAAAGGUGAGGUAGCCAAUCAGGCAAUGGUGCUGAUGGCUCGAGGAGCAGCUUCUAAGUGGAAGCAGGCCCUGGGAUACUUUUUGGCUAAAGCUACCCUCUCCUCGAAGGAGACAGCAACUAUUGCAGUAUAUCAGUAGCAGUGAGAAGGCUGAGACAGAUUGGUUUCACUGUGUUUUCUGUGGUCUGUGACCAAUCAACAUCGAACCACAAAACACUGAAGUUGUUAGGAGCCAGUCUCGAUAUAAAAGACACAAGUGAGAGUGCACACUGCAUAUCUGUGGAUGGAAACAAUGUUUCCACAAUAUGGAAACAAUGUUUGUCGUACCUCACCUAGUGAAGUCAAUCUUAAAAAACAUGACCUGAAGGUUAGUUUAAUUCUCCAUAUAUCUAAUAAUUGUAUCGUUUGAGAAAACACCAACAAACCAAAUGGCAACAUACGUUUACACUGUCAUGUUACAGAUCGGACCACAUCAGGUGCAGUGGAAACACUUUGCUGCAUUCUACAGCACUGACAAACAAAACAACUGGCCCCCAAAAUCACAGACAAGCAUGUUUCACUGCCACCAAUCAGUAACAUGCGCGUGCGCCUUGCUACGCAAGUCUUCAGUCACACUGUGGCUGCUGGUAAGGAAUUAUGUUCUUAAAAUUAAGUCAGUACACCUGCACAUUUCACUGCUUAAUAUGACCAUUUAUAUGCUAACACAAUAGGAAUGAAGACUACAUAGAGCUGGAGAGGCUGCCAAGUGAGGCAAACCCUACAGCUGACUUCUUUGAGGCCAUGAACAGGGUUUCUGAUAUAUUAAAUUCACGGUAUAUUAAGGAUCUUUGGCACUACAAUUGGAAAUGAAUGGGAAAGUGUUUAGGGCCGUUUAGCGGAAUUAUUCUCGGCUCCCAUGCGGGGGCCAGCCGUGUAUAGUUGUUACGGAGAAACAGCCAAUCAGAUUGAAGCUUUGUUCUGCCCUGUGCAUAUCAUAUCUUCAUCUAUUUUAUUAUUUAAUUAUUUACUUGAAAGGCACGGGUUCGAAUCCCGUCAGGAACAUUAUGAAAUAUGAAAAAAAUGAGUGGAAAG